CGCACUUUUUCCUUUUAUACGCUAGAUAAAUGCAGGAAUAUUUAACGCAACAAAUCUCCAGUAAUAGGCUAAAAUUGCUGUUAUCUAGGCUAUAGUUGCUGCCUCGUAGAGACAGCACACUAUUCUUGACUACGCGGUGUUUCUCCAGAGUCCACUCACCCAGUCUUUCGCGCGAUCUAUGUAUUGUCGAGAUCUCGAUCUUGUGUCUGUCUGUCUGUCUGUCUGUCUGUCUGUCUGUCUGUCUGUCUGUCUGUCUGUCUGUCUGUCUGUCUGUCUGUCUGUCUGUCUGUCUGUCUGUCUGUCUGUCUGUCUGUAAAGAUGUCGUAAUCCGGGGGGAAUAAUUAAGCUUCAAGAACGUUUGUUAAAUGAGGGGAGCGGUCAGAAACUAGAUUUUGUAUUGCGCACGCAACUCCAUGUGCUCAAGAAUCAAGAUUUUACAAUUGAUUUUCAUACAGGCUUUUUAUACGGAUGCAAGUUAUGAAAAUUUUCGGAAAAAUUCAGGUAGUAUGGCUCUAUUUCUUUCUUCUGAAAUACAUCAAGGCGAUGACCUUUUUAGUGUUCAAUCUAG